rnacentral:rRNA from 1 species
UACGAAGGGGGCGAGCGUUGUUCGGAUUUACUGGGCGUAAAGGGCGCGCAGGCGGCUCAUUUUGUCAGGCGUGAAAGCCCCGGGCUUAACCUGGGAACUGCGUUUGAUACGGAUGGGCUAGAGUUCGGGAGAGGAGAGUGGAAUUCCCAGUGUAGAGGUGAAAUUCGUAGAUAUUGGGAAGAACACCGGUGGCGAAGGCGGCUAUCUGGACUGACAUUGACGCUGGAGGCGCGAAAGCGUGGGGAGCAAACAGG